UACGUAGGGUGCGAGCGUUGUCCGGAAUUAUUGGGCGUAAAGGGCUCGUAGGCGGUUUGUUGCGUCGGGAGUGAAAACACUGGGCUUAACCGAGUGCUUGCUUUCGAUACGGGCAGACUUGAGGCAUUGAGGGGAGAACGGAAUUCCUGGUGUAGCGGUGAAAUGCGCAGAUAUCAGGAGGAACACCGGUGGCGAAGGCGGUUCUCUGGCAAUGUUCUGACGCUGAGGAGCGAAAGUGUGGGAGGCGAACAGG
rnacentral:rRNA from 1 species